rnacentral:lncRNA from 1 species
UCUGAGGAUGUUGGUGUCCAUGGUGUGGUGGAUGAGUCUGUGAUUGAAUUUGAGAAUGUUGCUGCGCUACAGGGUGAUUUUGUGCCUGUUGGUUAGCUACUUGGUUUUGAUGUUGAACAGCCACUGGCGCCUGAACAAGUGAAUGGGGUUGUGGUUGUGUCUGUGUUUGUGCCUGUGUCUGUGCCUGAAGUAGAGGUUGAGGUUGCGGUUGGAGCUGAGCCUGCGCCGGGGGCUGGGAUUGGAGUUGUGGCUGGGGCUGUUGCUGCGGCUGCAUCUGGGGCUGUUGUUGGGGCUGGGGCUGAAGUUGGGGUUGGGUUUGGGGCUGUGGCUGUGGCUGAAGCUGGGGUUGGGUUUGGGGUUGUGGCUGAACAAGUGGCUGUAGUUGGGCCUGGGGUUGGGGUUGGGGUUGGGGCUGCCCAGAUAAUUGUGCAGGAUGAGGCUGCAUAUGAGGAUGCUGAUACUGAACAGCCUGUUGCUGAUAAGGGUAAUACUGCUGAUAAUGCUGCUGAUAAGGGUCAUAUCCAGGAUACUGC